rfam:Picea glauca, whole genome shotgun sequence.
GCCUACAACAUAGUGUUAAUGCACCAGAUCCUAUUAGAAAUCCACAGGUAAGCACACUCAGGAUAGAGUAAUAAUGGGAUGGGUGACCGCCCAGGAAUUCCUAGUGUUUUAUAUGCC